rnacentral:pre_miRNA from 1 species
CAACUACUCCCUCUGUCCCAAAUUUCUUGUCUUAGAUUUGUCUAGAUACGGAUGUAUCUAAUACUAAAAUGUGACUUGAUACAUCCGUACCUAGACAAAUCUAAGACAAGAAUUUUGGGACGGAGGGAGUACUUU